GAUGAACGCUGGCGGUAUGCUUAACACAUGCAAGUCGAACGGACUCUUCGGAGUUAGUGGCGGACGGGUGAGUAACGCGUGAGAAUCUGGCUUUGGGUUCGGGACAACCACUGGAAACGGUGGCUAAUACCGGAUGUGCCGAGAGGUAAAAGAGAAAUUGCCUGAAGAUGAGCUCGCGUCUGAUUAGCUAGUUGGUGAGGUAAAGGCUCACCAAGGCAGCGACCAGUAGCUGGUCUGAGAGGAUGACCAGCCACACUGGGACUGAGACACGGCCCAGACUCCUACGGGAGGCAGCAGUGGGGAAUUUUCCGCAAUGGGCGAAAGCCUGACGGAGCAAUACCGCGUGAGGGAAGAAGGCUCUUGGGUUGUAAACCUCUUUUCUUAGGGAAGAACAAAAUGACGGUACCUAAGGAAUCAGCAUCGGCUAACUCCGUG
rnacentral:rRNA from 1 species